rnacentral:rRNA from 1 species
CCCUUAGAUGUUCUGGGCCGCACGCGUGCUACACUGAGUGGAUCAGCGGGCCAGGUUGCGCGAAAGUGUUUCCUAAUCUUUAAAUCCGCUCGUGAUGGGGAUUGACGGUUGCAAUUUUCCGCCAUGAACGAGGAAUACCUUGUAAGCGCGGGUCAUCAUCCCGCGCUGAAUACGUCCCUGCCCUUUGUACACACCGCCCGUCGCUCCUACCGAUUGAGUGGUCCGGUGAGGCUUUGGGAUCUGAGCGGAAAGAGCGUUUCGCUGUUUCUGCCCGGAAAACUCAGUCGAACCUUAUCAUUUAGAGGAAGGAGAAGUCGUAACA